AUGCCCCAUGUGAUAGUUCAGAAAGGGAAGAUUUUUUUUCAGCACCUCAACCAAGCUGCUGCUCUUGUGGGUGGAUCGUGGAUACUGCUGGGUGACUUCAACAUGUACAGGUCUGCCCAUGAGAAAUCUAGAGGAUGCAUAAACUGGUCAGUCAUGGAGCACUUUAACAGCUGGAUUAGAGAACAUGGCUUGGAUGAUAUUCCUAUUGCAAAUCGCAAAUAUACUUGGUCCAAUAAGAGAAGGGAACCAACGCUUGUUAAGCUGGACAGGGUGCUCGUCAACGCCGAGUGGAAUUUGGGUUUCUUCCAAACUGUGGCCACUGCCAUAAUGGCCGCAACUUCUGAUCAUGCUCUGUUCAUCGUGGAAUUCAGUAAAGACACCACCAGAAGCAAUUUUUUCAGGUUCGAGAAUUUUUGGCUGGAUAUUGAAGAGGUCAGGGGGGUUAUCUCAGAAGGUUGGACUAGAGGCACCAGGGCCUUUGCUGUGACUACAUCUCUUAUCAGCAUUAAGAUGAGAAGAAUUCGAGCUGCCAUCCGCAAGUGGGGUAGAAGCAGGGGAAGUGUUCAGCUGCUCAUGGAAAAUAACAAGCAUGUUGUGGACUUUUUGAAUGCGGUUGAGGAGUACAGGACACUCUCUAACUUGGAGUUUUGUCUUAGAGAUUAUGCCAAUAAGAAAGUCCAGCAGUUAAUCCUUUGGCAAACUAGCAUUUGGAGGAGAAGGGCAAAAAUCCGUCAAUGCACUUUGGGGGAUGAAAACACCCGUUUUUUCCAUCCUGCUGCAAAUAGUCAUUCAAGAAGGAACAAAAUCAGAGUUCUUGUCAAGGAUGGUAUCGAAUUCUUUGAUGAUGAGGACAAGCUCAGGAUAGCAACUGAGUAUUUCAACACCUUGUUCGGACAGGCCUCUCCUUCGGUACCGGUCGUAGAUAUCUCAGCGCUCUAUGAUCCGAUCGACCUAAGCUCGCUAGAAGAGCAGUUUUCAUGGGCCGAAAUCGUCUCUGCAAUCAACCGUUCCCCGAACAACCGUAGCCCUGGGCCAGACGGUUUCACAAAUGAGUUCUACAAAUGCUUCAAGGAAACUCUGAAACCUGAUCUGCUGAAUUUUUUCAGUGACUUUCAUGCAAAUAAUGCCGAUCUCUCAGGCGUCAAUUCUGCAUCCAUUUCUUGCUGCCUAAAAAGAAAUUUCAAUGGAGAUUAA
rnacentral:rRNA from 1 species